GCGCGCGCAGGCGGUUUCUUAAGUCUGAUGUGAAAGCCCACGGCUCAACCGUGGAGGGUCAUUGGAAACUGGGGAACUUGAGUGCACAAGAGAAAAGCGGAAUUCCACGUGUAGCGGUGAAAUGCGUAGAGAUGUGGAGGAACACCAGUGGCGAAGGCGGCUUUUUGGUCUGUAACUGACGCUGAGGCGCGAAAGCGUGGGGAGCAAACAGGAUUAGAUACCCUGGUAGUCCACGCCGUAAACGAUGAGUGCUAAGUGUUAGAGGGUUUCCGCCCUUUAGUGCUGCAGCUAACGCAUUAAGCACUCCGCCUGGGGAGUACGGUCGCAAGACUGAAACUCAAAGGAAUUGACGGGGGCCCGCACAAGCGGUGGAGCAUGUGGUUUAAUU
rnacentral:rRNA from 2 species